GGAGAGGUGGCCGAGAGGUCGAAGGCACUCCCCUGCUAAGGGAGCAUACGGGACUAAAACCUGUAUCGAGGGUUCGAAUCCCUCCCUCUCCGCCA
rnacentral:tRNA from 2 species